UAGGAUGUCGUCUAAAGGCAGGACAUUUCUUUUUGGAUGAAAGAAUGGUUGUUCGAUUCAACCCAUCCUAG
rfam:Malassezia pachydermatis strain CBS 1879 scaffold15, whole genome shotgun sequence.